rnacentral:lncRNA from 1 species
ACAGUAUAGAGGCAUCACAGUACUACAGUGUAGAGGCAUCACAGUACUACAGUGUAGAGGCAUCACAGUAUUACAGUGUAGAGGCAUCACAGUACUACAGUGUAGAGGCAUUACAGUAUUACAGUGUAGAGGCAUCACAGUACUACAGUGUAGAGGCAUUACAGUACUACAGUGUAGAGGCAUCACAGUACUACAGGGUAGAGGAAUCACAGUACUACAGUGUAGAGGCAUCACAGUACUACAGUGUAGAGGCAUCACAGUACUACAGUGUAGAGGCAUCACAGUACUACAGUGUAGAGGCAUCACAGUACUACAGUGUAGAGGCAUCACAGUAUUACAGUGUAGAGGCAUCACAGUACUACAGUGUAGAGGCAUCACAGUACUACAGUGUAGAGGCAUCACAGUAUUACAGUGUAGAGGCAUCACAGUACUACCUUCCUACACCUUAAUAAAGCGAAGGAAGCCCAUCUCAGCCUGCACCAUGUGACCUGCAUGGCAGAAUCAGUUGAGAUUUUCACACCUCUGCUGGUGUGUGUUGAUGAGAGCGCUGUGGAGACAGCCUGCACCCUGAGCCCUUCCUAGCAGU